AACCCAAAUUAAUAAGCCCACGGCGUAAAACGUGUUAAAGAACAUAGCUCACUAAAGUUAAAACCUAGCCGGGCUGUAAAAAGCUACUGCUAGCAUAAAACAUGCCACGAAAGUGACUUUACUAUCUCCGACUACACGACAGCUAAGACCCAAACUGGGAUUAGAUACCCCACUAUGCUUAGCCCUAAACAUAGAUAAUUAAAUCAACAAAAUUAUUUGCCAGAGAACUACUAGCAAUAGCUUAAAACUCAAAGGACUUGGCGGUGCUUUAUACCCCUCUAGAGGAGCCUGUUCUAUAAUCGAUAAACCCCGAUAAACCUCACCACUUCUUGCCAAAU
rnacentral:rRNA from 1 species